UAGGGAAUCUUCCGCAAUGGACGCAAGUCUGACGGAGCAACGCCGCGUGAGUGAAGAAGGAUUUCGGUUCGUAAAACUCUGUCGUUAGAGAAGAACAGCGCAUAGAGUAACUGUUAUGCGUGUGACGGUAUCUAACCAGAAAGCCACGGCUAACUACGUGCCAGCAGCCGCGGUAAUACGUAGGUGGCAAGCGUUGUCCGGAUUUAUUGGGCGUAAAGCGAGCGCAGGCGGUCAAUUAAGUCUGAUGUGAAAGCCCCCGGCUCAACCGGGGAGGGUCAUUGGAAACUGGUUGACUUGAGUGCAGAAGAGGAGAGUGGAAUUCCAUGUGUAGCGGUGAAAUGCGUAGAUAUAUGGAGGAACACCAGUGGCGAAGGCGACUCUCUGGUCUGUAACUGACGCUGAGGCUAGAAAGCGUGGGUAGCAAACAGG
rnacentral:rRNA from 1 species